GAGUUCUGUCAGUCGGAGGGCCGGGCCUAACAUGUUUACACUUUCAGUUUCCUGUCAGGUGCGUCGUAAUCCAGUCGAUAACCCGCCCUUCUCGUCACUAUAUAAAUAUAUCUCUUCGACGCUGCUCCGUCAACAGGACUGUUAAGCCCUUGGAAACUGUUACUCCCUUUAUGAACAUUGUCUUUACGUCUGUGUCUUGACUCUCCCUUGAUAAUAUCUUGUUUGAUCAUCAAUUGGCUAAAGAUGCAAGGUCCAGGGGCAAUAAUCCUAACAGUAGUAAAGCAUCCUACCAGCUCAAAUAUCAUGAGUCCUUCGGGUGCAUACUCUGUCUCCCAGAAUGGGUUAAGUUAGGAACCGCUUAACAAGUGAAUCGACCUUUCCUAUGUAUUGUUGGCAUGGAAUGACCUAGAAGAUAAAAGCAGUUUGGAUUUACUACUCGAGAAAGGGUGCUGACACAAGCCGACGUCGACCUAACGCUUGGCACCGACGGAACUAUAUAACCAUAAUCAAAGCUUGGACUUCUUGCAACGACAUGAUGAAAACUACGACUUCAAGCAAAAGAAUCAGGCGCAGAACAAUUACAAUCAAAAGCAACAGAACACUCCAAAACCCAUCCAAUUUCCUGAACAAGACAGACGGGCCUGACUAGUCUCCCUGGCUGGCUCGCGAGGCAGUUGAAGGGAGGAUAAAAGUUUGAUUGGUUACUUCAUGGAGCGACUGGCAGAUGGACACUGAUUGCCCGGCUGGCUGCUUCUUUUGCUGCUGCUGCUGCUGCUGUUGCCGGCCCCUUCCCCUUCCACGUAGGGUUGUCUGCAGCACGAGGACUACAGGGUUAGCAGCGUCAGCCAUUUUCAACACCAACAGCUUCAUAAAUUGGGAUCAUAACUUACUAUGUACACUUGGCAUUAAAUGUGUGACUGACCAAUAGGCGAACUAAGAGAAGCAACCCACCUCGACAGCUCACUAAACUGGGAGGAAAAAUUACUGUGUACACUUCCUAUUAAUGUUGAACUGACUGACGGACCAACUGAGAGAGGAACGCACAUACCCACGGAAUACUUUAUGAUCCUAAUGAACGAUGCAGUGCCUCAAGUGCUCACUGACCAGUUUCUUUUCUGACGAGUGUGAUAUAUACUGCUGUUGUUGGACAGGGUUGCGGAACUGGACUCAGAAUAGCUUGAAUUAGCUUUUAUUAACUUAUAUAACCCAACACUUAAAACGGGUAGCAGUAGUAGUAAAAGUAGUAGCAAUAAAAUUGUAGUAGUAGUAGUAGUAGUAGUAGUAGUAGUAGUAGUAGUAGUAGUAGUAGUAGUAGUUGUUGUUGUUGUUGUUGUGGUGGUGGUGGUGGUAAAAGGGAUAGCAAUCGAUUAAAGCGGUAAAUAACGAAAUAAUGUAAGUUUACACACACACACACAGCACCCCACCCCACACACACACACACACCUUAAAACCUCUGGCUGUAAGUGUGCGUGAAAAAGAAAGAAAGAGAGAGAGAGAGAGAGAGAGAGAGAGAGAGAGAGAGAGAGAGAGAGAGAGAGAGAGAGAGAGAGAGAGAGAGAGAGAGAGAGAGAGAGAGAGAGAGAGAGAGAGAGAGAGAGAGAGAGAGAGAGAGAGAGAGA